GAAAAAUCAGCAGAAUAUUAGUUCAGUGAAAUACAAAGAAGAGAUUAAACAUGCAACAGCCAUUUCUGAUCCUCCAGAACUAAAGAGAGUUAAAGAAAACCAGAAGAACAUCAGCAAUCUCCAGUAUAAAGAGCAAAACUACAAGGCCACUCCGGUAAGCAUGACCCCGGAGAUAGAGAGAGUGAGGCGAAACCAGGAGCAGCUGAGUGCGGUAAAAUAUAAGGGAGAACUUCAACGGGGAACUGCAAUUUCUGAUCCACCAGAGCUGAAGAGGGCAAAAGAAAACCAGAAAAACAUCAGCAAUGUGUUUAUUACAGAGGUCAGCUGGGAAGAGCUACCACUUUAAGUGUAACUCCUGAAAUGGAAAGAGUGAAGAAGAAUCAAGAAAAUAUUAGCUCGGUAAAAUAUACCCAGGACCAUAAACAGAUGAAAGGUAGACCAAGUCUGAUUUUAGAUACACCUGCUAUGAGACAUGUUAAAGAAGCACAAAAUCAUAUUUCAAUGGUAGGGUCCAACCAGAUCAUUCUUAAAACAUGCUAAGGAAUGGGCGGAUCCAGUGCACGGAUGGCAUUACUUCACUAUUAAUCCGAUAACUAACAAAGCAUGGAAAUGUGGUUGGCUUGUCUUUUGAGGGAGGGGCAUUUCUAAUCACACUGAAAUGCAGUGGAAACAUUUAGUCUAAUAAAAUGAUUUUUCUCAGUGA
rnacentral:lncRNA from 1 species